rnacentral:rRNA from 1 species
CUGUGCUUGCACACCGUGUUUUCUUGAGUCGCGAACGGGUGAGUAACGCGUAGGUAACCUGCCUAUUAGCGGGGGAUAACUAUUGGAAACGAUAGCUAAUACCGCAUAAUAUUAAUUAUUGCAUGAUAAUUGAUUGAAAGAUGCAAGCGCAUCACUAGUAGAUGGACCUGCGUUGUAUUAGCUAGUUGGUAAGGUAAGAGCUUACCAAGGCGACGAUACAUAGCCGACCUGAGAGGGUGAUCGGCCACACUGGGACUGAGACACGGCCCAGACUCCUACGGGAGGCAGCAGUAGGGAAUCUUCGGCAAUGGACGAAAGUCUGACCGAGCAACGCCGCGUGAGUGAAGAAGGUUUUCGGAUCGUAAAGCUCUGUUGUAAGUCAAG